CGCGCACCUGCUCGCUUGCGCGCUCGACGGCCUUUCAAGCGUCCGCGAGCAUAUACUAUAGCUCCGCACAGCAUCUGCACUCUGAGGCUCUGCAACUAGCGUGCAGCGUUGCCAAAGCUGCGGCGGUAGCCGGACAUCACAGUUAAGGACAAACAUGACCACUGGAGGGAUCAUAUGACAUCACCAUCUAGAGCCCGGGAGGCUCCCUGGUAGACAUGGAGCAGGCAUUACAGCCUGCCCUGGAUGCCACGGAAGAGUACCUACUAGACAAAGUGAUAAAGCGGCACUUCCCCCACGCGGACCUGAGGAAGCAUCCCGCGGUGGAAAACAACCACAAACAUUGGCCACCAUGCCGAACAAAAUAAGGCGGAAACGAAAUAAUACGGGAUCUGCCAGCGUGAGUCAAAUUGCAUUCUUGCGCCCUUUAACGAAGCGAGCGCCUUCUGUCGAACACAGGGUCACGGGCUGCAUGAGGAGCACCAGUUCGAGCUACAGCCGUUUGCACAGCUCGUUUCCUCAACGGUGAUGCACUUGCGACAGUGGCUCUUUAUAUUGUCAGACAACGAUGCAAGCAAAGAUGCACAAGUGCUUUAUUGAACAAUGCGGAGCAAGGAAUACGAUAUUGUCCAGAAACCUGAGCAAGAACGAAGCAGCGGUAAGCGCAACGUCAUCUUUUGAAGCCCACUGUAUAUACAAACGUAAAAAAAUUAAAAAAAAAAAAACAUGCGGGGGUUCUAGUGCGAGGCACGUGCGGCUUCUGCCGCGUAUUCUCCGUUGAACGGCUUUCCGGUUUGCUCUGCUUUCUUUUUCUUGUUGUUUUGGAAAACUCCUGCGCAGUAGCACAGCGCUAUUGGACACCAGGACAUAUGGUGGCGCCAUCUGGGAGCGCGCCACCGACGUAGUAUGAGGGAUAACACGGCACGCGCCCCUUGUAGUUUGGAUGCCUUCGCUCAAAUGAAACGCCGCGUGGCCGCCUUUCUUUCCGUAAACGCCUUCAAAACCAGAGAAUUUGGUAACUGUAAAAUAAGUGGUCCUGAGCAAAUGCACGAAAACAGUGCGCGGAUAUUGCACUAAAGUUCACCGAGGCCCGAGCCAGUUGUCUCCUUCUUUUUCUUUCUUUUUCUUUUUUGCGUGAAAGAAGCAAUCAAAUAUCGUUGUAUUGUACACUGCCUGUAAAACAACAGCCAAUACCACCUACUGCAGCGAUCGCGCGGAUUUUCUCACAGAGUUGGUAAAGCAUCAUCAAAAGGCAGCAAGGUCAUCUAUCCUUCUUGUAUCUGUGUGUUCAUUUCACUCUUGAAAUCUGAGAAAUAACGAACAUCGUAAAAGAGUGGAACAUAAUUAUGCUGUGGAAGACCGUUACAAUGUUUUCCUCCUGACAACGAGCGCUCCACUAUAAUUGUAACUUGCUUUCUUGCGGGAACCUUAACCAUCACUACAAUGAUGCAUAAUUGUUAUUAAUAAGGUAAACAGCACCAGCAUCUGAUGAUGACAUCCAUCUGAAUCGGGGCGGCGAGAAAUAGUCACGUAUUCUGCGUACACUAAUUAGGUGUUACUUUAUCUGCUGUAACCUGAAGUGCUCCCUAUCUCUGCUCUAUAUUGCAAUACUGCUGUACCUCUAAUGAUCCCGUUCGCGACUCUUUCUUGCUUUUCCCCCACCAAUAUUCGCAUCGUCUUUUGCUGAUC